rnacentral:rRNA from 1 species
GCAAGUCGAACGAUGAAGCCCUUCGGGGUGGAUUAGUGGCGAACGGGUGAGUAACACGUGGGCAAUCUGCCCUGCACUCUGGGACAAGCCCUGGAAACGGGGUCUAAUACCGGAUAUCACUCUUGCAGGCAUCUGUGAGGGUCGAAAGCUCCGGCGGUGCAGGAUGAGCCCGCGGCCUAUCAGCUUGUUGGUGAGGUAAUGGCUCACCAAGGCGACGACGGGUAGCCGGCCUGAGAGGGCGACCGGCCACACUGGGACUGAGACACGGCCCAGACUCCUACGGGAGGCAGCAGUGGGGAAUAUUGCACAAUGGGCGAAAGCCUGAUGCAGCGACGCCGCGUGAGGGAUGACGGCCUUCGGGUUGUAAACCUCUUUCAGCAGGGAAGAAGCGAAAGUGACGGUACCUGCAGAAGAAGCGCCGGCUAACUACGUGCCAGCAGCCGCGGUAAUACGUAGGGCGCAAGCGUUGUCCGGAAUUAUUGGGCGUAAAGAGCUCGUAGGCGGCUUGUCACGUCGGGUGUGAAAGCCCGGGGCUUAACCCCGGGUCUGCAUUCGAUACGGGCUAGCUAGAGUGUGGUAGGGGAGAUCGGAAUUCCUGGUGUAGCGGUGAAAUGCGCAGAUAUCAGGAGGAACACCGGUGGCGAAGGCGGAUCUCUGGGCCAUUACUGACGCUGAGGAGCGAAAGCGUGGGGAGCGAACAGGAUUAGAUACCCUGGUAGUCCACGCCGUAAACGGUGGGAACUAGGUGUUGGCGACAUUCCACGUCGUCGGUGCCGCAGCUAACGCAUUAAGUUCCCCGCCUGGGGAGUACGGCCGCAAGGCUAAAACUCAAAGGAA